rnacentral:sRNA from 1 species
GCAGAGAAGAGUCAUCGUUAGACAUGCGGGCCACCAACGGCGUGCAGCCAGUGCUCACAGGGGUGCUGUGGGGCAUGCAGUGUGACGAGGAACCCGGCCCGGUGCUCCCCUUUGCUUCCCAACUCAGCAACAUGACCAAGUAUUUCCCAGCACCUGUACUUCCCUUCCGUCCGCCAUCUCGGAUAUCCCAGCACUACACUGCCCGUAUGGAUUUUUAAUUAAACGUGAUGUCAUGAAAUCAAAUGUCCCUGCUAAACAUCAAUGACUAAAUGACUGGGAUUGGCCAAGAUUGCAACAGUGCCCAUUAGAACACAGCACGGGAGGAAGGAAGCAGAAGAGCUUUCUCAUGGGUCUCUGACUUCUUCACCCACACCACAGAAGAGCCUUUGUAGCUGAAGAGUGUACAAUGGAGAUGGGGGGACACACAGGAUUCUAGACAGAAGUGCAAUGGAAAAUGUUUACUUUUCUUCCUUUUAAAUGUUAAGACAUCGCAAACCUCAGGCCCUGUGUGAUGAGAAGGCUGAAAUGCGAGGAAUCAAUAAUUAAAACAUACAUGGCUGGCAGGUCAGGGAUGGCCCCGGCAGACCUCAGCCAUCAAAGAGUCCACCUUGAUUCCCGAUUAGACAAGGCAAUCAGACAGGCCUAAUUAAAACUAACACCUUUACAAUUGCUGUGCUGUGAGGGGAUUAAUUUGUCAAUUAUUUUUAAGCUGAUUGCAGUUCAUAUCACAGACGCAGACAGCUUCCUUCAUCCUUUAGAUAAAUAAAUGAUUAAUGAAAGAACCACAACUUACAGGUAGCUUUACUUAAAAUCUUUAUUGAACACUUGGGCAUUUUCAAAUACAUCAAUUUUUAUUUGCACUGUGUAAGCUAUACUGAGUCAAGGCUGAAGGAAGGUAUCUGUGGUAGACAUUUCUGAGUGUUCCUCUUGAUGGUCAUUAUUGACAACCAAGAGUACCACCAUUAAAAAAAAAACAAAAACAAAAACAACUAAAAAACAGAAACAACCCAAACAAGUCAAGAAGGCCUUGGUGCUUGCUCUGAAAGCCUGCUUAUACCUCUGAUGAUCAUCAAGUUUGGUUGUCUGCACUUUUCCAAAUAUGUGAUUUGAAAGGUAGGUUGUUAUAUUUGUUCAGUACUGAGAAUUGCUAUCCUCCCGUUGUACUGGUGACACUGAAGGGGUAAGGAAGGCCUUGAUAAAUAACCAGGCGACACGAAGAUCUUCCAAGACCUGGCUUAUAGGUGUGAACCACCAAGCCCAGACGUCAAGAAACUUCUCCAGUUAUGAUGUGUUUGUUCAAAUCUUUCCUUUACCUGACCACCCCCUUUCUUUUACAUUUAGGAUUGGACCCCUUUGCUAUAGAAACAAGAUGAGAGAAUUACAUUUUGGACUUGUUGCUGUAAGGCUCAGAUGUGACCUUAUGCCAGUACUAUGACUGACACAGUGAGCCCCCUCAACAGCAGCUCUGGUCAUUGCAACAGGUACUCAGUGGGGAGUUCCUGAACACCAGGGUUAACUAAUGGUGCACGAGAUGAAACUAUCCUCACAGCGCCAAUCCGUGCUUCUGGAGAUGCCAGAGGCCAAGCCUUCUUCACAGUGCUCGUUACAAUGCUCACAGGGACAGUCGCAGCAAGAAGUGGAUUUCAGGACACACGCGUGUACUGCACACUGCUCUUAGAGAUGUCUAACGGUUGAGUCACAGGAAACAAAACCUUCCCUAUUUUCCACCAUCCCUUGGUCUCUAAGUGUCAAUUAGUAUAUAUUUGGAUAGUCUUACGUUAGAAUGAUUUUUAAGAACUGCUGUCUGGGCUGCUGACUUGAGUUUCAUAAAAAAAAAUCAUGAAUGAAUUUUGGUGUGGGGUUAGGACAGAAUCUCCAGUAAUUUCAGAAAUGGCUCUGAAAAUACUGCUGCCAUUUUGAACUACAGAUUUGUAUCUCUGUCUAGACGUCUGUAUUUAUAGCACAGACAAUUGUAAAAUCCAAGUAUCUGUCAAUUCUGGAAAAUACUAAAGAUGUGCCAUGGCCUGCAGUAGCCAAUCCUCAGCCAGGGCUUAACUUUUCUGUAACAGGUCCAACCACCUCAGCACGGUGUACACUUCCCUUCCCCUUUUAAAAAUGUUAAAAGAAUUUCCAUCAGUUUGAGGCCAGCCUGGUUUACAGAGUGAGUUCCAAGAUAGCCAAGGCUGCACAGAGGAACUGUCUCGAUAAAUCAUAAACAAAUAAUAAAACUAAUUUCUCUAUGGUCUCUAAUCCGUAACUCUGAUUUGUAGACCUAUUAUAUUUAUGUACAUGCUCAGAGUAAUGUACCUUCUACCUGAUGAAAAGGACUGAGAACAGUUGGUGUUGGAGAAGACCUGUUCUACAAGGGUUAAGAUCUCUGUCUGCCACACACUGGGAAGAACGCAGGCUUCUUUCUCUACAAGAAGGCAGAUGCCACGUAGUCAGAGAGCACACCAGGGAAAGCAGCACUCAUCCGUGCAGUACAAGCCACUUAGCAGGAAGGAGCUAGUAACUAAGGACAGACAAGAAGCAAGGGGCGGAGCACGCUCACACCUAGCACAGACGUUCAGACUCCUUUUCUCAUCCAUAGGCAGGCGAGGACAAGGUUUUGUGUGUAGGGCUGAUAGGCAAUUUGUUUUGGAGGAUCAAUUUUUAAAAAGAAAAAAAUACCAGUGUGAUCACUUUUCCAGAAAGAGAUGUAUAAUUCACCUAAAGGAAACUCAAUACAUGAAGACAUAGAUUUAUGAAGUAUAUAAAUUAGGUAAUAAUUUUUCACAUUAGCAAAGCCUUUCAUGGGAGGGUUAAUUUAUUUCAUCAGCUCCCCUAAUACACUUCUUUUGGCUUAAAAGAAUUCAAUUUAUCUAUUUCUUUUGCAUAAAGUAAGGUACACCUGUAUUUAAGAAUAGAUGCCGUGGGAAUUCUCUGGCUUUCAUAGGAUGUGGGUAAGAACAAGUAACGGUUGGCUUUGUGUAGCUGCAUAUGACAUGGCAACCAUGGUCCUCAGUAGAGAACGGUGCCUUCCAAGCAACCCCUUUGAUAUUCUGUAAAUUCUGGAAACAAAGCAGAGACCACGUAAACAUCCCAUUUUAGACCUUUCCUGGGGAAAGGCGGCAGGCGUAUGAGGCCACAGGGAAGGUUCUACUCUUUACUUACAAUGUCUCCUAGCGGUGCUAAUGGUACAUUUUAUACCCUGCUAUGUCCACUGGCUUCUCAGAAGCCACAAUGCUCCUCCUUUUUUUGUACAGACUCUGCAAGUGCUCUGGUGACAGAGGAGGGAGCCUGGUGUAAGCCACCGAGAGAGACCGAAUCAUUUUUCAAUCUUAUGCAGACAAACACCUGCCUGCAGAAAUUCAGUCGUGUGCCAGGCGACUUGUGAAAGCACAUUUUCUAACUUAUAAAACGUGUGUAAUGUAAAUAGGGGAGUAAAGGUGUUUUAAAGAUAAUCCCCUGUGACGCCUUUCUUUAAAAUUCAAUUUCCUUUUUCUUUUUCUGAACACUAUCAAUAGCAACCAGUCCGCUUCACAUGGCUCUGGGAAAUGAAGCACCAUCCUGAAAGAAAAAGCUCAGAAAUGUUAUUUGAAGAAAUUACUGUGAUUAAAGGGGUAAGGGGCAUAUGCCCUAGGUUUUUGAAGAGUAUACAAGAAAGAUUAGAUUUUAUCAUUCUCUCUAAAGACAGCAUAACCAUGAUUCACAUUUUCAAGAUUAUCAUAACUCUUUUUCAGGUAGUACAAUUUGUCUGGUAUUUUAAUCUAUUUUGAGCUAACAUCUAUUAGCACUUUUUGAAAAUGUGAGGCAAUUUGCCAUGCUAAUUAGGUAAAUCAUACGGUGGUUUCAGUAUGUUGCUGCUGCCGUUGCUGCUGCUCCAGAGGGGUGAGGAGAGCUCAGCGUUGUACCGCGCCUCUGCUGCCUUCCCUUCCUACCAGGUCCUCACCGACACCAUGACCAGAAAGCUCCUGAUCCGUGAAAGCCCAGCCAAGAGCUCGGCUAUUUACAAAACUAUCCAACUAUUCAAAAAUACAAGAUCCGGUAAAAUAUGGUGAAGAAAACAUAAACGUUCUUUGUUUUUGAAAAAAAAGAUGUGUAUGGUGCAGGCAUGUGACAGCGUAAAUACGCAAAUACAUGUGCCGGAGUGGCCAGUUGUGGAGGACUGAGGAAGAUUCUGGGUGUCUUUGUCACUCCCUGCCUUGUUCCCUUGAGAUGAGGUUUCUCACUGAGCAGGAGGCUUGCCCUGUUGGCUAGUGGGCUGCCAGCUACCCCCUGGUACCCGCUUUGUCUCCAUCUCCUGAUGCUGGGGCUACAGAGGUGAUGUGUAUCUCCAGAUGCUGACGAACUCAAGCCCUCAUCUCCGCAGAGCUCAUUCUCUCCAACCCAGAGUGAUUUUCUCUUGAGUGGAGAAAGCUCUGGUUCAGUUUGAGACACCGAUGACAACACAUUACUUUAUACCCAGACUGUAAGGUCCUGGAUGACAAGGGGUAUUUCCAUCAACUCUGUUUUCCGCCCAGCAGGCACUGUCUGUUAGUUUCACUAAGACGCGGGUUGGAUGAGAUAAGACAGUAGUGCUUUGCUUUACACGCUGCCAGGUCUGCAGCCUAUGGCCCGUGCCUACAGUACAGACUCCAGGUCUGCAGCCUGUGGCCCGUGCCUGCAGUACAGACUCCAGGUCUGCAGCCUGUGGCCCAUGCCUACGCAGUACAGACUCAGAUGUACUUUUGCUGGUUCAGUAAACACAGGAGUUACUCAGAGACUCUGUGCUGAAUAAACAAAAAGGGAGCGUGUUGCACUGUCAAGCAGAAGUUAACUGCUAGCCGCCUGUCAUUCACAAUGGGGUAUCGAAAGUCCCGACCUCAUCUCAGCCCGAAGCCCUUUAAUAAUUUUAAGUUCCUGCUCAUCCUGAUCCUUGGCUACUGUUGUUUUCUAUCCAAUCUCAUCAGGAACCUCUUUAGAAAUGCUCUUUCGGAGCUUAGUGAUUUUGCACUCAUAUGGUGGUAGAGAAAUUGUUGCUAGGUACAAGGUUGUCAGGCAGCCCUCUGAAAUAUCUAACUUGUCAUUAGGUUGAAUGAUGGAUGCCUCCUUCAAUAUGGGUUACACAUGCUACAAGGGGAGACAGGUUAGUAAUCUUGGACACAAACUUGUUCCUACAACUUCACAAACCACAGUCAAGGGGUGUUAGAGCUUCAUUAGUCUACUUAGGAUGGUGGACUCAAGAAGGCCUGACAAAAAGUCUGACAUUUCAAGACACUUAAGGGAUCGUCUAUGCCAUAGGCAUUUGGUGGCAGCGUGGAUACAUAGGUCUCCUGAGUCAAAGCAAUACUAUUGGCACCUUCUACUUUUGCAGGGAGGGGGAUGCUUCAAAACUGAAGUGGCUUCACCCCCCCGUGGGGUAAAUGGAAUAGAGUAAUAGAGUUGAAUGCACCCCCAACCUCACUGUCCCUCUCUCUUCCUUUCCUCCAUCAAGCUUGGGGCUCUCAAAGGGUCCUUUUGACAAAGGCACCAGAACUGACAGGGUUUUCUUUCCCAUCUUCUUUGCAGGGAAAUGUUUUCUCAGGUUCCAGAGACAGAAUGGUCAGCAAGACUGAUACUGGAUGUGGUCCCUGCCCUUCUGGAGGGUAUGACACAGCAGGGAAGACUGGUAGUUACUGCAGCAACAGCAAAGGCUGUGAGGAAUUUUCUAGAGAAAUGCAAGUUGUCACAGAAGGAGGUCCACAGCAGGCACUCUGCGCCUCUCCAAAAAGGACGUUUGCAUGGACUUUCAAAAGCAAGGUGUCAGGCGCACUUAAGUGUAUAGGUGUUGUGCAGAAGCAGAACUGAAGGAAACCAGAGCACUACCAAGGCGUCCAGGGGAAAAAGACAGCAGGUGCCUGAGCUCUGAGUGGCUGUCCUUCAGCCAUCCCAUAAUUCCCCUGCUACAGGAAAUAGGUAUUAGACCUAAGACAGCAUCUUUCUUAUUUGGCUAUUUGUUUCCUUCAGUCUAGAUGCUACUCCCCCCACCCCCGCCACCUCCCAAACUACCCAAUGGAUAAGAGGCAGUGGGGUCUAAAUGUUUUUAAACUCGUUAGUUAUAUAGUACUUUUGUAAGUUAAAUCGUGGGGAUUUCAAAUAUAUACAGCAACAAGGAGCUCCAAAGAAUACAGAUACAGAUGACAAACACAAGAUCAUCCCCCACCCCACCCGCUAUCUGAUGCAUAUGUGCGAGGUGAGUCUGUUUUGCCUGACCUUGUUGUAUCUAGGUCCUGGGUUAAAACCCUCAGAACUUUCAGUGUAAUGGGGGUGGAAAGCCAGCAUGUUACCUCAGUAAGUGAGAGCUACCAUUUGUUUACUUCACACAGGGUGUUAUACAAACUGUCCCUCUUCUGUAAACCCGGGCAUAGAGGCAAUGUGGGACAGGAAGAGGAGACAGGGGAGGUGGGAAGGUCAGCGGAAUGGUGAUGUAGAAGAGAGAGAAAGAAUGACUCACAGACAGGGAGUUUGCUGUCCUUUGAAUACAGCUGCCAGGAGGUAGACAGGUUGGGGACAGGGAGGUGGGCACUGUGUUUGGAGAUGCUACAUCAGAGCCACAGGGAGCGUAAAACCAGAAAGUAUUAGGCAAAGAGAAAGCCCAGGAGCUGUCCCUAGACAACCCUUUCCUGAGGUUUGAUACCAGGGUGCAGAAGACAAGGGGAAGGUUUGGGAGGGUUCGGGGGAGUGAUAGUUGGACUGCUUCGAGAGCCAUGGAAUCACUCAGGAUGUCCUUUUAAAACAAGCCAACGAGCAGUUGCACAAUUCUCAAGUUCACGACAUUCAAGUCGCUGUUUUUUCUCAGGAGCUGUAAGCUCCAGAAGCUUUUCCUACCACAGUGACUGCACUGUACCAGGAACCACCCAACAGAAUGGGACACACGAGUAACACAUGUGAUAAAACCAUAAGAACAUCAGAAACAAGGCUCUCCGGGGUUACAGCAGGGUAGGAGCAUAGCUCACCCAAGUGCUGGACAUCCUGGUAGGCUGGGUUAUUUCCUUUCCAACUGCAGGGAGCCCUCAGUCUCACAGGCCAUGGAAGCCAGGCCUGUCUGUGCUUGGGCAAGUGUUAGCGAGCUGCCAUUACCCUUUCUACGAGUACAUAUAAAAAUCACAAUCCUAUAGCCUCAUCCUUUCAUAUUAUUACCGAAGUCAAAUCGAAGCUGCAAGGUGAAUAUUGACCGUGAAGCAAUGACACUCUGGGGUGCCUUCAGGCAAACAACACAGCAGUCUAUUGACCCUACAGUAUCUGGGGGAGCUGCAGACUCUUGUAUUCAUAGCUUGUAGAAAAUAAGCUAAGAGGUUCAUGAUAUGCCGGUUUCCAACAGAGGGGAGCAAGAUACAAGCAGCUACUUGAAGCUCACCUUACACGUUCCAACCAGAUACUGCUCCUCCUCAGCAAACAAGUCCUAGCCUUACUCCGGCUCCAGACUGGCUUUGACGGCCUCACAACAAAGCCAAAUGCAUACAGAACCAAGUAGUUGUAGAGACCUACAAGUCUCUAGGUUUUCCCUUCCUCUGUGCCCCUAUACUGAAGUCAGAGUUCUGAUGACUGAAAACAAGUCCUAUUAUUUUCAGAUAUUGUUGUUACAUGUCGUUACAUGUUUUAGGGGCUGUUUCCCCCUCUUACUGGUUUUGUUUUGUUUAAGAUCUUAGUGUGUGAAUUUAUAUUUUGAUCUAAAAAUUACGACCCUGCUAGGGCAGGUGGUAAAUGUGUCGGAUGGAAGGUUCCAAAGUAGCCACACACACAUAAAUAAAAGAGCAGUAAUGGGGAGAAGCCAACAUGCAUUGGGUGCUUAUAGUGACCCUGGCUUUGGGCUCAGUGGUCCAGUCCUGUUUCCGUUACUGUUGUAACGACCUCUGGGCACAUGUUGUUAAUAUCAGCAUGUUUCAGAUCACUAUUGUGUGACUCCUGAGCUUGAGAUUAAGUUCUGAACAGCCCCAGAAGUGGCACAGUGACAGAAGUCAAGCUGGCAGUGUGGCAUGGUGUUUACUAACCAACUCUACCUGUCCCAUGAAGGACCACACCAGUGUCCCCUGGUUUACGAGAUGAGCUCGAGAUGGGAGUGCUGGUUCACUUGGAGUUGGAGGUAUAUAGCAUGGGAAGGAACAGAGAUGAGAAUCUUUGGCCGAGGUGAGGUCUGUUGGUAACUUCGAUUUUAGCUGGUGGGUGGGCUUUUCCCCAUUCGCUUACCAGGGAUGAUCAGGAAAGGCCGUCACAUGUGCUUUAAAGUGCUCCUGUUUGGAAAUCACCUGUGAACUGUUUCACAGCAAAAGCAAAAAUGCUGACACUUCAAGCAAAGGCAGGAGCUCAGAGCUCGGAGCCCCCAUAGAGCUUGGAGCCCCCGCAUCACCCGCCAACCUCUAACUGCCUCUACCUGUGGGCACACAGGACUAUGCACUGGCUGGGUUGUGACUGGUCUCUCAAGAAAGAGACCACUCCUGCCUUCACAGAACAGAAAGCAUUUUUUUUUCCAAUGUAUUUUCUUCAACGGGGCAUUUAUUUAAAUUUUUAAAUUUUGGCUAAGGGCAGUCUGAAAACAGCUGUGUGUAUGUGGGGUGGGAGGGAGGAGGGCCCUGCAGGUACUCACUUUGUUACAUGGCUGAACUGCUACCCAAACAGUCCUGGACACAGUGCCCCACAAACUAUUUUUCCCUUAAACUGAGUUUUCCAGUUAGUUCUGUGUAUUAGUCACACAGACGUCUAUUAUUUUCCCCACAGGGCUUUCCUGCUCACAAUUCCCAAACAAGCUACUAAAACCCCAUUUUUCCCCCACAGAAAUAUUUUGGUUGUUGAGGCUUUCUCUUACCAUAAUUACUUUCUGAGAAAAGCAGUUCAGUGGUCAAACUUUCCUGAAUAUUUUUACAUUAAAUUGGGCACAGAGCACUUGGCCCCGGCCAUCUUGAGGCUGUAGCACAGACGCUGGCUGAUGGCCUCCAUCUCCUGUCCUCCGUGUUAGCAAUCUCUUUGCCACUUAAGCAAGGAAGUCCACGUGAGAACCAGACUUUCUUGUAUCCCAGAGAAUACAUCCUAGCCACCCACCUUUAUUAAAAUAAAUAAAUAAAUGAUUUUUUUCUCUUCGAAGAAUUUCAGGCAAGAAUUUCAAGCUGAAAACAAAGGUCUUGGGAAGUACAUUUUUAGAAGAAAUGAAUUAAUUUGAUUAUUUUCAUGCUGUGGACCAAUAAUAGUCAGCUUUGGCUGGGCCCCUGGCCUGAAGGCAGCUGGGUAAUCAAUGGGAUCCCACAAAGGCAGCGCUCCACCCCCAGCAGUCUCUCUGAUCUUUUCUGGGUGGACUCUUCACGCCUGUGUAAUUCUAAUUUAUAUCAACUAGAAAUCAAAGAAAUUCCAGGAGGCUUUGGUCAUAGGACAUUGGCGUGGACCUUUCACAACCUAUUUAUGUCUACUCCUUGAGUCACAGGGCUGGAAGAGCCUUCCAGACACCUCUACUGCCUAGGGAGGAGGAGGCAACAGAAGGCAGCUACCUGCUUGAUGCCGAGAGGGGAGGGGACAAGGCCGAGGGGCCUAGAGUAUAAACUGGGUACAGUUUCUCCUAGUUUCUAACUCUGCAGGAACAUCAAAACUAAGCAUUUUAGGCAAAAGCUUUGCCAAGAGUGGCUCCCUCAAUAACGCUCUUUAAUGAUACCCCAGAGGCUGGCAUUUUCAAAUCAAAUGAACAGUGUGUAAAAUUAGUUCUGCAUGAAGUUAAAAAAAAAAAAAAAGGGAAGAAAGUGAAAGGAGCUUUUAAAAGCCCCAGCCUCUCUCAAUCCAACUGCUUUCACAAGGGUUUGGCAUUUGAGAAUUGCUACGUUUAUGAUGUUA